rnacentral:rRNA from 1 species
UGAUCCUGGCUCAGGAUGAACGCUGGCGGCGUGCCUAAUACAUGCAAGUCGAGCGAAUGGAUUAAGAGCUUGCUCUUAUGAAGUUAGCGGCGGACGGGUGAGUAACACGUGGGUAACCUGCCCAUAAGACUGGGAUAACUCCGGGAAACCGGGGCUAAUACCGGAUAACAUUUUGAACCGCAUGGUUCGAAAUUGAAAGGCGGCUUCGGCUGUCACUUAUGGAUGGACCCGCGUCGCAUUAGCUAGUUGGUGAGGUAACGGCUCACCAAGGCAACGAUGCGUAGCCGACCUGAGAGGGUGAUCGGCCACACUGGGACUGAGACACGGCCCAGACUCCUACGGGAGGCAGCAGUAGGGAAUCUUCCGCAAUGGACGAAAGUCUGACGGAGCAACGCCGCGUGAGUGAUGAAGGCUUUCGGGUCGUAAAUACUCUGUUGUUAGGGAAGAACAAGU